AUCCAACUGACGCGUCCCAAAUAGGACGAAAAGCGCGUCACACUGAAU
rnacentral:hammerhead_ribozyme from 1 species